rnacentral:rRNA from 1 species
GAUGAACGCUGGCGGCGUGCCUAAUACAUGCAAGUCGAGCGAACGGGCGAGAAGCUUGCUUCUCUGAUGUUAGCGGCGGACGGGUGAGUAACACGUGGAUAACCUACCUAUAAGACUGGGAUAACUUCGGGAAACCGGAGCUAAUACCGGAUGAUAUUUUGAACCGCAUGGUUCAAAAGUGAAAGACGGUCUUGCUGUCACUUAUAGAUGGAUCCGCGCUGCAUUAGCUAGUUGGUAAGGUAACGGCUUACCAAGGCAACGAUGCAUAGCCGACCUGAGAGGGUGAUCGGCCACACUGGAACUGAGACACGGUCCAGACUCCUACGGAGGCAGCAGUAGGGAAUCUUCCGCAAUGGGCGAAAGCCUGACGGAGCAACGCCGCGUGAGUGAUGAAGGUCUUCGGAUCGUAAAACUCUGUUAUUAGGGAAGAACAUAUGUGUAAGUAACUGUGCACAUCUUGACGGUACCUAAUCAGAAAGCCACGGCUAACUACGUG